rnacentral:rRNA from 1 species
GAUGAACGCUAGCUACAGGCUUAACACAUGCAAGUCGAGGGGUAACGAGAGGAAAGCUUGCUUUCCUUGUCGACGACCGGCGCACGGGUGAGUAACGCGUAUCCAACCUGCCCCCAACUAGGGAAUAACCUUGCGAAAGUAAGACUAAUACCCUAUAAUUUCCUCAGAUGUCAUCUGACGAGGAAUAAAGAUUUAUCGGUUGUGGAUGGGGAUGCGUCUGAUUAGCUGGUUGGCGGGGUAACGGGCCACCAAGGCAACGAUCAGUAGGGGUUCUGAGAGGAAGGGCCCCCACAUUGGAACUGAGACACGGUCCAAACUCCGACGGGAGGCAGCAGUGAGGAAUAUUGGUCAAUGGGCGGAAGCCUGAACCAGCCAAGUAGCGUGCAGGAUGACGGCCCUAUGGGUUGUAAACUGCUUUUAUACAGGAAUAAAGUUAGCCACGUGUGGUUAUUUGUAGGUACUGUAUGAAUAAGGACCGGCUAAUUCCGUGCCAGCAGCCGCGGUAA